UGGAAGUAAAAAAUCGUAACAAGGUCUCCGUUGGUGAACCAGCGGAGGGAUCAUUACUGAGUUACCGCUCUACAACCCUUUGUGAACAUACCUCAACUGUUGCUUCGGCGGGCAGGAGGACAACCCCCCCUCGGGGGGCGGUCCCCCUCCCGGCCGCGCCCUCACGGGCGUGGCGCCCGCCGGAGGAUACCAAACUCUAUUUUAACGACGUUUCUUCUGAGUGGCACAAGCAAAUAAUUAAAACUUUUAACAACGGAUCUCUUGGUUCUGGCAUCGAUGAAGAACGCAGCGAAAUGCGAUAAGUAAUGUGAAUUGCAGAAUUCAGUGAAUCAUCGAAUCUUUGAACGCACAUUGCGCCCGCCAGCAUUCUGGCGGGCAUGCCUGUUCGAGCGUCAUUUCAACCCUCAAGCCCUGCUUGGUGUUGGGGCCCUACGGUCGACGUAGGCCCUUAAAGGUAGUGGCGGACCCUCCCGGAGCCUCCUUUGCGUAGUAACUUAACGUCUCGCACUGGGAUCCGGAGGGACUCCUGCCGUAAAACCCCCAAAACUUUUACAGGUUGACCUCGGAUCAGGUAGGAAUACCCGCUGAACUUAAGCAUAUCAAUA
rnacentral:rRNA from 1 species